AGUCCAUGAUGUGGGCAACAUCGCAGUAGAUCCUUGUACCUCUCCUAAGUGUCGUACAUCAACUCAUCGUCAAACUACACAAAACAAGAUAUAUCAUUUCUAAGUUU
rnacentral:snoRNA from 1 species